GAUGAACGCUAGCGGCAGGCCGAAUACAUGCAAGUCGGACGGGAUUGAGGAGAUUGCUUCUCAUGAGAGUGGCGCACGGGGGCGUAACACGUAUGUAACCUACCUUGCUCAGGGGGAUAGCCUCUCGAAAGAGAGAUUAAGACUGCAUAACGCAGUGAUGUGGCAUCAUAUUACUACCAAAUCUUUAUAGGAACACGCAGGGCAGUCUGAAAACUAGCUAGUUGGUAAGGUAACGGCUUACCAAGGGUACGAUGUUUAGGGGAGCUGAGAGGAUUACCACCCACACUGGUACUGAGACACGGACCAGACUCCUACGGGAGGCAGCAGUAAGGAAUAUUUGUCAAUGGACGUAAGUCUGAACCAGCCAUGCCGCGUGCAGGAAGACGGCCCUACGGGUUGUAAUCUGCUUUUCUACGGGAAUAAACCUACUUACGUGUAAGUAGCUAAAUGUACUGUAGAAUAAGGAUCGGCUAACUCCGUGCCAGCAGCCGCGGUAAAAC
rnacentral:rRNA from 1 species